rnacentral:rRNA from 1 species
CGUGAAAUUGUUGAAAGGGAAGCGUUUAUGACCAGACUUGGACUUGGUUAAUCAUCUGGGGUUCUCCCCAGUGCACUUUUCCAGUUCAGGCCUACCACAUGGGUAACCCAUGGAUAAAGGCGGCGGGAAUGUGGUUCUCUUCGGGGAGUGUUAUAGCCCGCCGUGUAAUACCCUAGGGGGGACUGAGGUUCGCGCAUCUGCAAGGAUGCUGGCGUAAUGGUCAUCAACGAC